CUUGAAAGUAACAUUACCCAUCCUUUCAUAAAGGGAAGUGAGAACAACCUGCUGGGUAAAACCAAGAGUUGACUUUCUCAUGAGAUCCUUGGUGUUAUUAAGCUACAUUCACUCUACAGAACUUGGAAGAUGAUUCUAAAAUAUAUUUGUAACUACAAAGGGCCAAGAAUGGAGAAGACACAUAUAAAGAAGUAAAUGGCGAAAACACAUGCUCCAUCAGAUGUCAAUAUUUAUUAUACAUUGCAGCAAUUAAAACAGAGGUAAAUAAACAGCAUCUGUUCAUCUACUCAUCUAUUUAUACUUCAUUUUUCUCAAAGGAUUUGAGAGUCCAAGGGUAAAAGAAGUUUAAUCAGAAAAGGGUUUCCUGUGGAUGUG
rnacentral:lncRNA from 1 species